rnacentral:lncRNA from 1 species
AGUUAACCAACUAAAAUCUAAUAGACUGCCUAGAGCAAUUAAUAUCCUGUAGUUCUGACCUAAAUAGACUAACCAAAAGAGCAAGCCUAAGAUAUAAGACAACCACCAAGAUUCCUGAACUACGCUAACCUCCCAGUAUCAAUUACACAUCCAUUUCCACUUCUAAUCUCUUGAGGGUGAAUCUGGAGGGAGGUCCUUUCGAAUAUUGGCGAGCAUUGAACUUCUCAAUUGCAAGUCCCUAGCUUCUAGCUACUGAAUUGGUAGAUGCUGGUGUAACUGAUGCUGCUGUUUCUGAGAAUGAAUCUGGAGCUGCUGUAAUUGUUGACCAGUUAACAUUGUGUGCAUAGCACAAUAAUUGGGAUAAUACCGCUGGUUGGAUCCAACGGAUGCAGAGCCAGGAAAAGUGAUGCAACACCAGUAGAAAUAUUGAAGAGAGAAUGAGAAAACCAAUUAACAGGAAGAAGAAAUUAGGGAAAGGGAUGACAGAAGGGGAAGCAGUAAGAAGGAAAAGAAUAAUGGAAAGGAGAGGAGAAAUUCGCCACAAGCCACCAACAAUUUUAUUCUAUCAUCAACUAAUGAAAUUACAUGACAAAUUAAGUUUAAAUAGUCAAAACAAAACCCUACCUAGAAUGGGUUUGGACCAAUACAAGUCCAAUUACAUAAAUAAAAAUCUCAAAACAUAAAUAAAGUCCAACUAAAAAUAAAUAUAAAGUAGAUGUCCUCAUCAACUCUCCCGGGGUGGGAGAAAAACUCGAUCCUGUCGAGUAGAUAGAUCACAAAAGCUGCAGUUAAGCUAAUACUCCAAAUGCUUCAAGUCAUGCCACGGUGGACGAUUUUUCUGAGGAGCCAAGUAUCGAAACUCCAUGAUUGACAGUAAUGAAAACUGUAGCUAAUUCCUAAGAAUAUGAUCUGACAAAGGGGGAUGGUCUUUCCUGUUGACCAAAUAUUGAUAUUGAAUUCUAAGUAACCAAUACUCAUGCACCUCAUUUCCAAAAUUUUCACAUGAUUGUACAUAAUGAAGAGUACAAGAAGCACGCCGAUCUACCCAACAAACAAGGGAGUACCAAUUCUCUCCAUCAAAUGUUAACACAACAUGUUUAUCUAAAAUAGCAUCAAUUUUAUUUUCGUGUGCUAUGAUGAGUGUUAUUGGAGUAGAAAUGGUAGCCACAUGUGAAAGUAGAAAAGGAUCUUCAAAACAAUUAAAACGACCUUUGUAAGUAACUAAGUCAUCAACAGCUAAAAUAGAGUGGUGGCCAAAAUGUGAUAAAAGAUCAAUGACACAUAUAUUUGUACCAACAUGCUUUAAAAUUUUAUAAGGGCCAGCACUACGGGCUUGUAGUAUAACAUAAUCCUCAAUAUUAAAUUCAAAAUAUUGUUUAUGCUAAUUAGCUCGAAAUUUAUAUAAUGCAUUAUUUGCAUCAAGUUGUUUAUUAAUCUCAGUAUGCAAGUCAUGAAGAUGCUAUACAAAUGCUCCAGCUGAAAACGACACACUAACAUGUGGGGACACGGGAAUAAGAUGUGACGGUCACCUAGACUUAUAACUAUGAACAACUUCAAAUUGAUUUAGACCUAGAGACCGAUUUACAGAAUUAUUAUAUGCAAUUUGAAUAGUUGGGAGGAUCAAUGCCCAAUUCCCAAGAUUUUUCUGGACUAGAGACUUGAUAAAAUUAUUAGGACUUUGGUUAACGGCUUCAUUUUGACCAUCAGUCUGAGGUUGGUCUGCAGUGAAGAAUUUCGAUUUAGUGUUAACCAUGGGCGACUGAGUUUUCCACAAGUGACUAGUGAAGUCAUGGGAUAUAAUGCUUAGAGUCUCAGAAAGAGUCUGAAUGCCACCUAAGGAGGUGUCCUCACCAUCAUCAUCAAAAUCUUCAAGUUUAGAUUCAUAUGCUAGAUCUUCUAACGACUCUUCUAUUUCAUUCAUUCGUUCUUCUAUAACUAAGGUUCGGUUAGGACAUUUGGAAGAGAUGUGGCUAAAGUUCUUACAACUGAUGCCUAGCAAGUGCUAAGAAAUUCUUAGAGUUUUAAAAAUUUUACCUUUAUUUUCCAAGAUUGGAGGAACAUUAGACGGGAGGUCCUAGAAGUAACUUAAUAGGAGGAAGUGGAGCCAAUGAAACAAAAGAAUGGUUGUCAAUACACAUUCUAUAUGAAGAAGGGGGCCUUGGACUAUCACGACCUUUACACUUAUUUUUUCAAAUGGGAGAACACUAGACGGAGAAGAUUCUAUGACAGACUCAUGUUGAGGUGCUAAUGAGAUGGGUGAACGAUGAUGACUACGCUUUUCAUACGAAGCACUAAUAAGUAACUCGUAAUCUCAAGCUAAAGAGUAAGCGUAAUCAAGAAUAGUGACACCUCGAAAGAAAAGCUCAUGCCUAAAUUCAUCUCUUAGACCUUGUAUAAACCUAUUCAAAAUUGGGGCCUCAUCCUCAACAACAUGACAUUUCAAUUGAAAUUCCAUAAAUUCAGCAAUGUACUCAGUUACUUGCCGAUUUCCUUGUCUAAGGGUGUUCCAUUGGGUAACAAUUUCAUGGUCUAAGUAACCAUCAAACGUAGGAAUAUCUUAUUUAAUGUCUCUAAAGAAACGCUCCUUAUGACGAGGAAGAGAAUGAGUACCAUGAUGAUCAUGGCCUCGUUCUCGCUCACAAACGUGAUCCCUAACCCUACGAUCGUGUUGAAAAUAUUUUUGGUCACCUUGUUGACGACGAUAUCGUCUAUUGUGAGACACUUCAGAAUUAUUAACAUCAAUCGAACGAGGGAUUUGCUUAAAGUUGUUCAGCCUAGCAAAGAUGGCUUACUCUGUUCAAGAAUAGCAGUCAUCUGGGUUUGGAUAGCUGCUAUUUGUCGAGUGAGUUCAUCAAAUUGUGAAGGGUCCAUGUUUAGGUACUAAAUGACAAGACGACUAGUCGACCACCAUGCAUGCACUGUAUUAGCAGCUAAAUGACGUGUAAUAGUGAGAUCAAUGAACAAUAAAUGCAAGCAAUGAAAAAUAACAAUUUGAGCAUUUUGAUUUUUUUAAAUCUCUUUUUAUUUUAUUUUUUUUUUUUUAUGGGGAUUAAGCAAAUUCAAAUGUUGCAAGCUAAUACUAUUGAUACAUGUAAAAUAGCAAAGCAAGGGGCCAAACACUUGUCAAAUUCUCCAAUCGAGUUGAUAAGUGGGGAACAAUGGGAAGUCAACUUGUUCAAUUAUUUGACCAAGUGGGGUAUUAGGCUAAUGAAAUCAAAGUAACAACACCACAAAGAUUUAAAUGAUGCGAUUUUAAAAUGAAGCAAUAGUAUAAACCAACAAUAAAUAAAGAUCAAGGACUCCCUGUUGUCGGGUUGCGGAGGCGGUGCCCAAGAAAGCUUGAUGUUGUUGGUGAUGUAUUCACAGGAUCUCAGUCCAACUGAUGGUGGUGCAAUCUAUAUUCCUGUUCUAAUUCACAUAUAGGAGGCUUCAGUAAACAAUUCGGUCACUGGCUUUGCGACUCGUCCUGUUUCCAAAAUAUCAGUCUCUGUGGACGAUUACAAUUUCAAUACACAGCCAAUACAGUAUAUUUGGGGACAUACUGUAAAGUUGGUCUAUGUGCCUGCAGGUUGAUGUAUUGAAGUAUGUGGGUUGCAGGUUUUGUGAAAUAUGUAAUGGAGUGGUGCCGAUUGUGUGAGAUGCCGACAAAUUGAGGGUUUCCGGUGGUAAAUCACGGCGGGUAUUGAGCGGUGGUGGCGACGCGACUUGCAAGUCGGGCGACGGUGACGGCGGGCUCUGAUGUGAUGGUGGAGGUGACUGACGUGGCAGUGGGAUGAUCGAUGGGGAAGAUGGAGCAGUCGCGGGGGGAGAUUGUGGUUUACCGGCUGUCGUACAGGUGGCGAUGGUGAUAGGUAUAGUAGAGGAGUUAGCAAAGAUGAAGACGAGUAGCUUGGGCUGCAAUGGAUAGGUCAGUACUGGGGUCUCGGGGAUUUGAGGGCUGUCGACGCUGGCGGUGGAGCGAUGGUGUCACCGGCAGUAGUCGUGGAUAGAUGGGUCGCCUGCGUAGAGGACCAUAUUCUGGAAGCCGUGUGGAAGUUGGGUGUGGACUUGAUCGAGGUGGGUGCUAUUUAUGUGUUAAAUGGUUUGAGAUAUAUGCGCUGAACAUGGGAUGUGUGCUGAAUGUGGAUAACAGGCUACUGGACUCGGCUAUAGGUGAUUAGAGGAUUGAAAGUAGGCUGUGUUUGUGGAAAAUGGCUUUUGGGCGGCUAUAUAGAAGUUUGGGCUGGCAAUAGUUGGUCCGUGAGGGUUUGGAAGGUAAAUAAGUUAAAAGGACAGCAAAAUUAGGUUAAAAUGACUAGCAC